rnacentral:lncRNA from 1 species
GCCCAUUUCCAGAAAGUCCUCAUUGAGUUGCAUAUUUCUGUCAGGCCUGAGAAAACUGAUAGGCUAUUUGAGCUAUCCAGAAUGCGCAUAUAUGUAGUUUGGUAUCAGCUUUGUUUGCAUGUCUGAAGACUUGGCAUUUAGGUAGUGGAGCUUAGCUAUGGGGGAUACUUGAUUUUAGUUUAUUGGAUUCUUCUAAAUGCUGUGCAUUCUGCUAUGGUUAACUGAAAAAUGUGCUUAUCUGGUUAGUAGUGCUGAUAAAAUAGGCCUUUAACAGCAACAGUUUAAUAGAAUAUCGAUAAGAUUUGGAAGGCACCUCGAAUAACAUUUUAGUGUAGCCACUCUACCUGGUGCUUGACUGCAACUUUUGAAAUUUGUAAAAGAAGAGAGAAAAUAAAAUCAGGAAUGGUAAUUUCCCC